rnacentral:lncRNA from 1 species
GGGUAGUGACACCAGUUCACAUAACACCGUCUGAAUUUUCCAGCUAUAAAAGCAACUUAAUUAUGGCUUGUAAAUGAGAGACUGAUUGGUGUCAGGUUUGGGAUCUAUGUCAAACUAUAAUUGUAAAAAACAUAACAGAUGUUAGAAAUAGAAACCAAGAAGCACUUCAAAACAGUAUCAUAUUGUUUUAAAAACCGAACAGGACGUUAAACCAGCAUGAUCUCUAGUUGUUUUAG